CCUUUGAGACUAGCCAUGUGACGGGCUCUCGACCAAUGGGGAUGGGUAAACUGUCUUUGGUAUUUAUGAAUAUUUAUAGUUUGUAUAUCAGUGAAGUGCACUUUUAUGACUUAACACGAACACCAUGUGCAAAUACAGUAGUGCAAUGCAAAAAAAAGUUGACCACAAUAUUUGAAUAGCGCCCUCACUUGACAGAAGAAGUUGACCAAAGAAUUUGAAUAGCGCCCUCAUUUGUCAAGAGAAGGACAUUUCUGCAGCUGUAGCAAGGUGUCAAACUUUCCAAAGUUUCAGAAAAUGUACAUUUGUAUUUUCAAAAGUUAUGCAGUCAUAUUAAUAGUAUUUUUCGGUGCUUGUAAGAAGAACACGGCUGAAUUUAGUGACGUAAAGCAAAUGCAGAACUGAGCAACAGUCGGUUGAUGUUUCCGAACAUUCCUGCCUUUAAUCCCAGAUUACGUCUGGACCACACACAACAGAUAAUUGUCCAUGAAUGUUGAUGAGAGGAAGGAUGCCUCACUGACAGGAUUACAAGGAUUCCCUUCUGAGGAACGCAGAGAUACAUGCUUACUUCAAAAAUAUAGGUGCAUCACAUUCCUGGUCAUGACCCCUUGGUGCAAGUCUGGUGAACAAUUUCUGAUAGUUCCAGCAUGUUUAAAAAAUGAUUACCACAUGAUCAACUGCAUCCACAGGGUCAGUUCAUCACCAGAAAAACACUCUAGUUACAAAUCCUUUGGAAAUUUCAUUCAUCAUUGGCCCCCAUCAUAAUCUUCAUCACCUUGCAUCACCCGCUGCGGCCAAGCUGAUGAGAAAACAUUAAAUCCCAGCCACAGAACUCCCUUCCCACCACCAAAGCGUGCAAAGAACAAACCGACGAGAGAAUAAUCCGUUCCUGGCCGCGUGAUGUUUCCCUGAGCAGAAACGCAUAUCCCGUGCAGUAAGAUUUGUCUUCCUUUGGGAGGCAUCUUUCUCCCUCCAUAAAUGACAAGAGGACACGCCCCUUCAGAGGUCCCUCAUCUCAAAGAAUUGGACUCAUCAUCAGUUUCAUCACCAGAUGACAAAGCAUAACACAAUGAGACAUCCUCAUCACCCACGACCUUAUAACCAGACACACUAACCCGGACCAGCCCCGCAUGAGAGCC